GGAAAAGGAAGGCCCAGACAGGUAGGCAGGUUAACAAAGAGAGGAGUUUGCUGGAGAAAGCCUAACGAGCUUUUAGUUCUACCCUGCAGCUCUGGGAAGAGGGGAAAUGUUAAUUUUUAGUUCAACUGUGCAAGUCUGGGAGGGGUCAAUCUAUCACGGACCCCAGAGGCUUGAGAGAGACCUGGAAAAUCCAUUCCGCCCGCAUCUGCUGACCCGUUGCCCUGGAGAAGGUGGAGAAGACCGAGGGCGACGGCUCGUGGGCCCAAACGGGGCCUCCACCCUCGCUUCCCCUUCCGCCGGCCUCCAGGGCGUGCUCCGCUCCCAAGCCCGGAUCUCCUUCGCCCGGGUCGAGGCCGGAGGACGCGGGAAGCCACGGCCACAGGUUCCAGACCCCGCGCGUC